GAACACGGACCAAGAAGUCUUCAAUGUGCGCGAGUCAAAGGGCUGGCUAAACCCCAAGGCGAAACGAAAGUGAAAAAAGAAAUAAAAAGAAAAAAGUAUUUAUUGCUCUUUUUUUUUCAUUCAUAGGGCUGAUCCGUUUCGGGAAGCGCGCCCGGGGCUCGGGUCUCGGGGUUCGGUGCCCGAGUGCGGGUCCCGCAUCACUUCCCGAUUUGCCACCCUAAUAUGUGGACGGCGCAAGCCCGGGGCCCGCGUAACGCUCCUCUCCGCCGUUAAUGCCGCAGCGUAUCGUCUCGUUCUCUCCUCCGGCGCACGAGAGGCUGUAAAAAAAACGGCGACGGGGACACGCGAUGCAGGACGGCGUUUCCGUCGCUCUCUUAAGCGAGGCCGGAGGUCGAGGAGGGCUCAAAGGUCGGUAGUGAAGGUGGUACGUGCCUUCGCGAGGGCUGCCGGCGUCGCGCAGACGUCUUCACCACCUCUUCAUCGGUGGUGUUGGCGUGCUUCGUCGUCGUCGUCUUCGCUCGUGCUAGGAGAUUCGGCCAUCCUCUCCCGCUCGCCCUUCCUCCUCUUCUUCUUCUUCCCCGUUAAAGAGGGUGUCAGCGUCGUCGCCUCUGACCCGUAACGUCGCCGUAAAAAUAAAUAGUCUCUGCUGAUGAGUGGGAGGCGGGCGUGUAUUUUGGGCAGGCGCGAGAUGAGCGGCGGGUACCUAGAGCGCACAUCGUAGGACCCGAAAGAUGGUGAUCUAUGCGUGGCCAGGAUGAAGCCAGGGGAAACCCUGGUGGAAGUCCGAAGCGAUUCUGACGUGCAAAUCGAUCGUCGGAGCUGCGUAUAGGGGCGAAAGACCAAUCGAACCAUCUAGUAGCU
rnacentral:rRNA from 1 species